UGGCAAUCAUCUAAAAAAUGGUGGAUUCAAGAUCGAGUGACUUCAUGUCUGUAUUGGAAUGAACAGUCUGUGAUAUUCGAAGGAUAGACAUAACGCCAUAUGAAUUAUUUGCACCCAAAAAAGUAAACGAUGGUGCUUAUUAUUAUCAUCUGAACUAACAGUAGUUGAUCAUUCGUGUUUCAUCUGUUUCCAGUGUUUGGGCUGGCUCGAAUGACAGUCAUUUGAAGCGCUUCAUGCGUUUGCGAGAUAAGUUUUUUCAUUAUUUCUGUGCAGUCACAAAAAGUCAGCGACAUCAAAACGUGAAAAUACUGCUGCUUGUCAUCUUCAAGACUAACGUACCCUAGAAAAAUUGCUUUGGAGCUGAUUUCCUGGUAUUGGGAGAGAAACUAGCGUCCGGAUCAAAGGAUUUAUUUGCAUAUUUUCGAGCAAUGCCACUGACAUGGUGUCUUUCAACAUACGGAAUAGCCGUUAUUUAGUGCAAAUUACUGGUCAAAGCCAUAGUAUGCAAGGCAAAGAAGGAGUACUGGAAAGGGAGUGAAAUAUACAAUAGGAUGGAUGCCAAAUAGCUGUCAAUUGAUGACUAUGUUGAUCGGAACUAUUAUUCUGGUGAAAUGGUGGCACUAACGAUUCAAUAUCGUACGGGAACCACGAGUCCCGAGAGAUUGUAGUUACAGGUAUUCCUAUCCCAAGGUUUGGAAAAUUUCCACACGACCGGCACUAGGUGAUGGCCAAAUCUACUGGUUUCACAUAGCCGUCUUAGUCCCUGAAUCAGAUUCGAGAGCUAGACGGAUCGCAUGAUAUGCAACAUGAGGAGCCAAUGUUCGAUCUGCUUUGGUUCUAUCCCGAUGACCAUGGCGGCUGAACUACAUUGCCCCACAAUGCUGAUUACCUUUGGAAAUGUACAAUCAAUUAAACAAUCUGACACAGAAAACACCAGCACCGCACAAACGUAAGAGAUUCUGUGAUGGACCAACGUUGCCGCAAGAGAACACUGGUAGCAAUAGGUUUGUUCCAGUCCCAGGAGAAACUGGAAGUACUCCGAAGAAAACAGGGAGAAAAUCGUUCCUGUAUUAUCUUCUUUUCUUUUCCUUCUUCUGGUAGCAAAUCGGAGUGAAAAGGAGCAAAAAUUUUUUGUUCCGGAGCAACAGGGAGUGACUUCCGUGUACUGGAACAAACCUAAUCAUUGUUAGCAGAAAGGAAACCACUCUUUUGCGCUCAAGCAAGAAACCAAGUCACCCAGCAAUUUUUAAGUUUACCGUAAAACUUGAAGUCACUGAGCUAGAUCAGCAACCUCCCGGUGCGAUUGUUAAAAGUCGAUCAACGAUCCAGUAGAAUUACGCACUAGACAAGAGAAUAUGUCCGGAAUUACAAAUUCUAACUCAUCAGAAAAAUAUCUUUAAAAAAGCACUAGCUCGGAAACGGUAUCAAUCCAAACUAUGAAAAGUUUCGACUGACUCCGACGCAAAUUCCGGAAACUUUUCUUCGUUGAUUGCGCGAAUAUUAUUAUUCGUGGCAUUUAAAACUGGACUCCAUGAAAGUGCGAUUUUUCUUAUAAAAGUGCGCUUUUACAUUGAAUCGUUUUCAUGUAUGAGGCGCACUUAUUCCUCGUUGGAUAAUACAUAAGUGCGUAAUAGACACCAAGACGAUUCAAUGUUAAAGCGCAGUUCUAUUGGCGUUUCCGCACUUUCAGUCGCACUUAUUAUGUGCGCAAUGCGCUAUAUAUUCUGGUACUGCUGGGUAAAUUUCACAUUGAAGAAUAAUUCCGUUGCUAGCUGCCAUGAUUCAGCAUCGAGAGAUAGAACCUAUAGUCGAGAUCGAAUCAAGAGAGCAAGGCAAACCGUUGUCACUAAACGUCCUAGCACUAAACUAAAACAAGUUAUAUUACACAUAAGACAUAACUUUCUCCGCUGAAGGAAGGCAACAAAUUUUUACCGUUAAAUUUGAAGACUGCGUAAUUGUCUCUCUUCGUUUACUUUCGUAGUCACCGACGUUACGUAACAUGUUUUAACUGAAGAAUUUUUUUUGAAGACUCACGUACCGGGGGAGUAGCGUUAAAAAAAGUUGUGGUUCAGCCGGAAAUGAACAGGAUUUCUGGCUGGUUCCAGUUCGUAUUCUGGCUCCAGUAACACAACCGAUUCUAAUUAGCCACUGAAGUCGGAAUACGAACUGGAACCAGCCAGAAUUCCGGUUCAUUUCCGGCUGAGCUUAACUGGGUGCUAAAGCUGUAAGAUUGUCAUGAUGACAUUGGUAACGAAACUAUAUUAAGCAAAGUGUCAAAAGUUUGAAUUCAAUGUGAGGUUUUUUUUAUACUACGGUAGCAUGUUACAAGCAUUUGGAUUGUGUUUUGAUGUUUUUAGAAUAUAUUAUUUUGAUCAAUAGUUUUUAAGAAACCAAUAACAAUAAAUUACGUUUGCAAAAUGCAAUAAACUGUUUCAAUAAUAAUUAUAUAUGUACAACCAAUUCCUUGAUUUGAACUGAUCUUCUGCUUAAAACCAAAUAUAUAUCGUCUUGUUCUUUGAGCAACUUUCAUCCAACUUUUCGAUGACAUUUAUGCUAAGAAAUAAUGGAAGUAUUUCGAUUUUCUGAUUUGGUAUAUACGCUGAAUAUGGGGAUGUCUUAUCAAAUUCGACGUUUUAGUUAUUGUAAAGUUAAUGUUAACAUUUCAAUCUUGAUCGGUUGUUGCUUUGCAAUGCGAAACUUUUGCUUCUAUUUUCUGAAUGUCUAUCAUUUGAUACUUGCAUACAAGGGUGGAAAGUAACUUGCAACAAAAAUCAAAAGGCUGUCAUCCAAAACACAACUGACAAAUGUUAAAG